rnacentral:rRNA from 1 species
UACAGAGGUCCCAAGCGUUGUUCGGAUUCACUGGGCGUAAAGGGUGCGCAGGUGGUUUGGCAAGUUUGACGUGAAAGCCCCGGGCUUAACCCGGGAAUGGCGUUGAAAAACUGCUUGAACUGGAGGGUUGGAGGGGGGGACUGGAAUUCUUGGUGUAGCAGUGAAAUGCGUAGAUAUCAAGAGGAACACCAGUGGCGAAGGCGAGUCCCUGGACAAAACCCUGACACUGAGGCACGAAAGCCAAGGGAGCAAAACAGG